rnacentral:rRNA from 1 species
CUACGGGCGGCUGCAGUGAGGAAUUUUGCGCAAUGGGCGAAAGCCUGACGCAGCAACGCCGCGUGAGUGAUGAAGGCCUUCGGGUCGUAAAGCUCUGUCAAGUGGGAAGAACCUAUGUAAUGUUAAUAUCAUUAUAUACUGACGGUACCACUGAAGGAAGCACCGGCUAACUCCGUGCCAGCAGCCGCGGUAAUACGGGGGGUGCAAGCGUUAUUCGGAAUCAUUGGGCGUAAAGGGCACGUAGGCGGCCUGGUAAGUCAGAUGUGAAAGCCCGGGGCUUAACCCGGGAAGUGCAUUUGAUACUGUCAGGCUUGAGUAUGGGAGAGGGAAGUGGAAUUCCUGGUGUAGAGGUGAAAUUCGUAGAUAUCAGGAGGAACACCGGUGGCGAAGGCGACUUCCUGGACCAAUACUGACGCUGAGGUGCGAAGGCGUGGGUAGCAAACAGGAUUAGAUACCCUGGUAGUC